rnacentral:rRNA from 1 species
GAGGAAAAGAAACCAACAGGGAUUGCCUUAGUAGCGGCGAGUGAAGCGGCAAAAGCUCAAAUUUGAAAUCUGGCGCCUUCGGUGUCCGAGUUGUAAUUUGAAGAUUGUAACCUUGGGGUUGGCUCUUGUCUAUGUUUCUUGGAACAGGACGUCACAGAGGGUGAGAAUCCCGUGCGAUGAGAUGCCCAAUUCUAUGUAAGGUGCUUUCGAAGAGUCGAGUUGUUUGGGAAUGCAGCUCUAAGUGGGUGGUAAAUUCCAUCUAAAGCUAAAUAUUGGCGAGAGACCGAUAGCGAACAAGUACAGUGAUGGAAAGAUGAAAAGAACUUUGAAAAGAGAGUGAAAAAGUACGUGAAAUUGUUGAAAGGGAAGGGUUUGAGAUCAGACUCGAUAUUUUGUGAGCCUUGCCUUCGUGGCGGGGUGACCCGCAGCUUAUCGGGCCAGCAUCGGUUUGGGCGGUAGGAUAAUGGCGUAGGAAUGUGACUUUACUUCGGUGAAGUGUUAUAGCCUGCGUUGAUGCUGCCUGCCUAGACCGAGGACUGCGAUUUA